UAUACUAUGCCUAGCUAAAAAUGUUUUUAAAGACAGGGGCUGGGGUUGUGGCUCAGUGGUAGAGUGCUCGCCUUGCACGUGUGAGACCCUGGCUUUGAUACUCAACACUAUAUAAAGUUAAAUAAGUGAAAUAAAGGUAUUGUCCAACUACAACUAAAAAGUAAAUAUUAAAAAGGACAGGGCCAGAGCGAUUAUUAUAAUUAUAAGUGUUUUGUGAUCAUUUGUACUUUUGAUAUAUUACAAUACCUCAUGAUGAUCCUCAAAAAAAUAAAAAAAGGUAAAUGCAAUAUAAUGGGGACCAUAUAGAGUUAUUCAUAGAUGCAUAUAGUUCUAAAUCUGUCCCAUAGAGUAAUGGCUUACAUUGAUACCUCUUUACCAAUGAUAAUGUUAUGCUAUUGUAAAUGUCCACAGGUUGAAUAUCUCUUAUCUGAAAUGUUUGGGACUAGAAUUAUUUAGAUUUCAGAGUUUUUAAUAUUUUGGGUAUAUUUAUAUACUGGUUAUACAUAAUCUGAAAUCCAAAAUAAUCUGUCUUGCAUUUAGGAGAAUUUUGGAGAUUAUUUUGCAUCUUGGAUUUUUAGAUUAGGAUUUGGAGGAAUUAUUCCUUCCAUUGCUAUCUCAAAAGGUGAUCUGGACAAUGGAAUAGAGACCUCUCAAUCAGUGCUGGGGGUUGAAACAAGAGCCUUCCCUGGUGGUCUACCAAUAAGCUUCAUCCUCAGCCCAAUACCUUUAAUGUUUGCUAUAGUAUUUCAUGUAUACUACUAUAUGUUUCUAAGGUGUAUUAUGUAUAAACAAUUAUACAUAAUAACAUACUUUUUAGUAGAUUGGAUGAAUCUCUUAAAAUCAUUGAACUUCUACCAUAGUCAUAGAGGUCAAAGUGUCAUAUAUUUUAGAAUUUGUAGUGACUUGUUUGCUUUGCAUUAAUAUUUGGGGGGGGUCUAUAUUAGGUUGGAAAAAUUUAAGUUGGUCUGCCGUUUUGCGUUGCAAUGCUUUUUUGCACUGAUUUACUGUCAGCUUAGUAGAGAUUUGGUUGUGGCUGCCACUAUGUAAAUUCAAAGAGGAUGUCAACAAAGGGUUUUUGUCCUUUGAAAUGCUAUGACUCCAGCUCCUCUAACUGCCUGGUACAUAGUAGAUUCAUAGUAAAUGUUGAAUAAGCAUAAAUAAUGGAUCUCUUACCAUGUACAUAAUACCCUGCAUAUCAUCCCAUAAAUGUAAAUAGCAUGUUAUAUAUGUCUCAUAUGUUCAUUUUUAGGUACUUGUACUAGUAACUAUGUAUGAUAAAUUUUUCAGUAAAUGGUAUGCAUAUUUAAAAAUUUGAUUUGAUUACCCUUUGAAAAUGUACCAAUUUUACUGUCCCUCACAGAUUACAUAUAUUUUUAAAAUCUAUAGUACAUGCAAAUGGUAAAUAGUAUAAAAUGCAAUUUUUAUAAAGUUGAUCUAGGUGUAAAUUUUCUUCCCAAUCCUGAUUUCUUAGUCCUCAACAUUUUUUCCUUUUCCUCAGAUUGUAUGUAUUAUUAAUUUCAUGUUUGACCUUUCAGAGAUAGUUUCUGCAAAUACGACAGUAGUGUUAUUAUUAAGUCUACAUAUUAUAGAAACUAUAACUUAAUAGGAACUGAAAAGUAACACUUAAGUCCCAUUUUUGAUAGUGAUAUGUAAGGAAAAAUGCAGGAGUAAAUAUAUGAGUAAAAUAUACAAUAAACAGAUCAUACCAACCAUGCAGGGAUGGUUUAAUUUUAGGAAAUCUGUUAGGUCAGAGGAAAAUAAAAUUAUAUGUGUAGCUCUAUAAAUGGAAUUUUUUCUUAGUACUUUUAUUAUAUAAUUCAUUUUUAAGUCAUUGAUCAUUUGGAUCUUAUUUUGAUCUCAGCAGCUGUAUGAACUUAUAUUGGAUUUCAAGUGAUUGGACCAAUGUUUGCUAAAAAUGCUUUCUCAUUUAACAUUGCAUGUAUCAAACACUAAAUUUACAUUUACUUGGGUCUACAUUUGGACGCACUGUUUUGUGUCAUUGUCUUUUCCUGUGACAGUAUAGAAUUAUUUGGAUUGUGUUAAAUAUUAUGUAUGUUGUUCUUUGUUAUACCAACUUUGUUCCCUGUCCAUAUUUCAAUUUGUUCAUGUGAUGCUGUUCCCUUUAUUCUAAUUUUUUUAUUCUGCUGCAAUUAUAUUUGUAUCAAUUACUGUUCAUCUUUAUAGCUUUUGACUUCCUUACUUUAAGAGUUUACUAAAGUCAUCUCCAUCUUCAAUGUUUUCACUAUUGUGUUUUGUGUUAAUUCUAGGUGGCCCUUUUAUCUUUUCCUUCUACUACUUUAUGUCUAGCAGCUGUCCUAUAAGGUUGUCACAUAUAUGGACCUUUCUAGUAGAAUUACCUAUAAAAAUUAAUAUGUAGCGAAAAAAUAAAUAUGUAGUAGGAUUAUUUUAACUAUAAUGUUUAUAACAGUAUAACAAUGGCAGAGCUACAUUAAAAACUGCAUUAGGUAA